AUAAGAUUGCUGCAUUAUUGUUAUGUUUGUUGUUAUUAAAACCGCGAGCUCAUUCGUCUUAACUCACCCAUAAACGAUUGCUUUAUAUAUCUUCUCUUUUGUGAUUUCUUGAACGUCACUUGUUUUAUAGAAUAAAUUUUAUAAUUUUUAUUUGACUAAAAUGUUUAAUUAAAUAAAUAUUUUUGAUAGUCAAUAGCUACGCUGAAAAAUAUUGAGUAUUAAAUUGGUUUUAUAUGAAUAAAGAAAUUGCAACGGCUUCUGACUAAAGUGGAGUUUGCUGACGUAACCUGUAAUUCAACUCUAUUCUAUUCCUAUACCUGUGAUAGACAUCUAGUAACAAUAUCAUCGUAAAAUUAGCACAGGAGUGAAAAGCGACUCCCACAGCAACACCUGGAAAAGCGUUUUUUUUUUCAAACUAGUCUCUAAGUUCGUUAAUGACAUACAUACAUAUGUACAUGUUUUUAAAUGUUAAGCAUUCCAUUUUCAUAUUCUGCUGCCGUAGUGAGGAUCUGAAAUACUAAUAAAAAAAUAAGGCAUUUAGUAUGUAUGCAUGUGCGUAUUUUUGAAUUUCUAACAGCUGCUGAUUCACUCCCUAAAUUAAACAAAUCCCUCUUUCUUUGAAAUGUUUAAAAUUUUAUUCAAAUCGGCAUAGACGAAAACAACUUAACACAUGAUUUAUUUUCAACAAAAACUUUUAUAUGGGAAAUACAUAUGUAUACGAAAUUUAAACUAGAGUUUCACAAUAAUGUGUCAUCUUACAAGUUGAAGACAAAUAGUAACUAUUUAAUAGGCAUACAUGUAUGUAGGUAUGUAUGUAUGUAUGUAUGUAUGGACAUAUGUAGUAUAUCGUCGUAACUAUUGCGAAACGCGCUAAAUGGCAAUAUCCAACUGAAACUCGGCAAAAAUGUUGUAAACAAUUUUAAUGUAUCAUUGGAAAUUAUUUCAGGGCUAUAGAUUAUUCAAGAAACUGAUUCUUGCUGGUAUGUAUUCGAGAAGAAAAUUACCGCAAUAUUUAAGGAAACUAGUAUCUAAAAAUUUGUUUGGGAUUUUUUGCAGUAAUGACGACGAUGUACAUACAUAUUUAUAUACAUUAGACUGCAUCACAAAAAAAGUUGUGGUUUUUCCGUCGGGAUUGCAAAAUUUAUUAUAUUUUAAGACGUUCACCAAAAUAUAUCGGACAAAUUUAAGGUUUAGGUGAGCUGGACUGGUUUGAAAAUGCCUUCGAAAAUUAAGUUUUUUUAUGACUAAAAACAGUUUCUUUAAGUAUUUUUUGGAAAAAUCUCCUUAGAUGA